GACGAACGCUGGCGGCGUGCCUAACACAUGCAAGUCGAGCGAGUGGAGUUCUUCGGAACAAAGCUAGCGGCGGACGGGUGAGUAACACGUGGGCAACCUGCCUCAUAGAGGGGAAUAGCCUCCCGAAAGGGAGAUUAAUACCGCAUAAGAUUGUAGCUUCGCAUGAAGUAGCAAUUAAAGGAGCAAUCCGCUAUGAGAUGGGCCCGCGGCGCAUUAGCUAGUUGGUGAGGUAAUGGCUCACCAAGGCGACGAUGCGUAGCCGACCUGAGAGGGUGAUCCGCCACAUUGGGACUGAGACACGGCCCAGACUCCUACGGGGGGCAGCGGUGGGGAAUAUUGCACAAUGGGGGAAACCCUGAUGCAGCAACGCCGCGUGAGUGAUGACGGCCUUCGGGUUGUAAAGCUCUGUCUCCAGGGACGAUAAUGACGGUACCUGAGGAGGAAGCCACGGCUAACUACGUGCCAGCAGCCGCCGUAACAC
rnacentral:rRNA from 1 species